ACAGCCUUGCUGAAUAUCCACCCUGUCUUUUGCGUACUUCUUGUUUCCUUGGUGGGUUCGCCCACCACUAGGACAAACAUAAACCUUUUGUAAUUGCAAUCAGCGUCAGUAACAAAUUAAUAAUUACAACUUUCAACAACGGAUCUCUUGGUUCUGGCAUCGAUGAAGAACGCAGCGAAAUGCGAUAAGUAGUGUGAAUUGCAGAAUUCAGUGAAUCAUCGAAUCUUUGAACGCACAUUGCGCCCUUUGGUAUUCCAAAGGGCAUGCCUGUUCGAGCGUCAUUUGUACCCUCAAGCUUUGCUUGGUGUUGGGCGUCUUGUCUCUAGCUUUGCUGGAGACUCGCCUUAAAGUAAUUGGCAGCCGGCCUACUGGUUUCGGAGCGCAGCACAAGUCGCACUCUCUAUCAGCAAAGGUCUAGCAUCCAUUAAGCCUUUUUUUUCAACUUUUGACCUCGGAUCAGGUAGGGAUACCCGCUGAACUUAAGCA
rnacentral:rRNA from 1 species